rnacentral:rRNA from 1 species
AUGUGUUUUUUGCCAUGGCAAUUUAAGAUGUGUUGUCAUGACAAGUUUAAAGUUCAUGUCAAUUUAAGAUGUGUUUUUUCCAUGGCUUGCCUUUGGCUUUUUAAGGUGUGUUUUUUGCAACGGCAAUUUUACCAUGCCAGCAAUAGUAAAUCACGGGCCAUGGCAAUUUUACAAAAGAAUCAUCUUCAUUUUUUAUAUUUUUCUGUAACAUGGCAAACUUUUUUUAUGGACCAUGGAAAACUUAUUGUAUGGACCAUGGCAAUUUUAAUUCAAUUAGAAUGCCAAUUUGUUUCUUGUAUCACCACAAACUUUACUUUUUUACUGCCAUGGCAACUUCACUAUGUCUCUUUGUUUCAAUUAUCAUGUCUCUUUUUUGUGCAAUUUUUACAUUUUGAUAACUUUACCAUGUCACUUUCAUAUCUAUUCCAUUUGUUGCCAUGCUUUUUUACAUUCUUCUUUUCGCCAUGGCAAAUUUGA